GCCACUGCUAUUGGGGUUCGGCUAAGCCAUGCGAGUGGAGGGCGUCCCGCAAGGGAUGGCCCCGCAGACGGCUCAGUAACACGUCGUCAACCCACCUUAGGGUGGGGGACAACCUCGGGAAACUGAGGAUAAUUCCCCAUAGGCGGGGGAGGCUGGAAUGCGCCCCCGCUGAAAGCUCAGGCGCCCUAGGACGGGACGGCGGCCUAUCAGGUAGUUGGUGGUGUGACG
rnacentral:rRNA from 1 species